AUUGUAUCCACGAUGGGGAAUUUUCCGCAAUGGGCGAAAGCCUGACGGAGCAAGACCGCGUGAGGGAGGAAGGCUCUUGGGUUGUAAACCUCUUUUAUCAGGGAAGAACCAAAUGACGGUACCUGAAGAAUCAGCAUCGGCUAACUCCGUGCCAGCAGCCGCGGUAAUACGGAGGAUGCAAGCGUUAUCCGGAAUUAUUGGGCGUAAAGCGUCCGCAGGUGGCUCAUCAAGUCUGCUGUCAAAGGCAGGGGCUUAACCCCUGAAAGGCAGUGGAAACUGGAGAGCUAGAGUGCAGUAGGGGUAGAGGGAAUUCCCGGUGUAGCGGUGAAAUGCGUAGAGAUCGGGAAGAACACCAGUGGCGAAAGCGCUCUACUGGGCCAUAACUGACACUGAGGGACGAAAGCUAGGGGAGCGAAAGGGAUUAGAUACCCCUGUAGUCAAUCGUGGAUACAAU
rnacentral:rRNA from 1 species